GUAGGAAUCUAUCCAUAGGUUAGGAAUAGCCCGCCGAAAGGUGGGGUAAUACCGAAUAAUCUCGCGCUAUGCGCGAGCAAAGGGCGUAACUGCCCGCCAAUGGAGGAGCCUGCGGCCUAUCAGCUUGUUGGUAGGGUAAUGGCCUACCAAGGCUACGACGGGUAGGGGGCGUGAGAGCGUGACCCCCCAGAAUGGGACUGAGACACGGCC
rnacentral:rRNA from 1 species